rnacentral:rRNA from 1 species
CGUAGGGUGCGAGCGUUAAUCGGAAUUACUGGGCGUAAAGGGUGCGCAGGCGGCUUGGAAAGAACGGUGUGAAAUCCCGGGGCUCAACCUCGGAACUGCACUAUUAACUGCCAAGCUAGAGUAUGUCAGAGGGGGUGGAAUUCCGCGUGUAGCAGUGAAAUGCGUAGAUAUGCGGAGGAACACCGAUGGCGAAGGCAGCCCCCUGGGAUGGUACUGACGCUCAGGCACGAAAGCGUGGGUAGCGAACAGGAUU